UAGUUAUGUUCUUGAAAAUUAAAAAAGUUGGCGGUAUUUUAGUCUAUUUAGAGGAACCUGUCCUAUAAUCGAUAAUCCACGAUUUGAUUUACUUAUUGUUUAAGUUUGCAUAUCGCCGUAGAUUGAAUAUUUUUAAAGAAAAAUAAAUGUUCAAUAAGUUUAUAAAAAAAGAAUUCAGGUCAAGAUGUAGCAUAUAAAUAAGAAGAGAUGGGUUACAAUAAAUUUAUUUAUAAUGAAUUAAUAAAUUUAAUUUUAUAAUGAAGGUGGAUUUAAAGGUAA
rnacentral:rRNA from 1 species